rnacentral:lncRNA from 1 species
CCUGCCUGCCUGCCUACCUGCCUGCCUACCUACCUGCCUACCUGCCUACCUUCCUACCUGCCUGCCUACCUGCCUACCUGCCUGCCUGCCUACCUGCCUGCCUACCUACCUGCCUACCUACCUGCCUACCUACCUGCCUACCUGCCUGCCUACCUGCCUGCCUACCUACCUGCCUACCUGCCUGCCUGCCUACCUGCCUACCUACCUGCCUACCUGCCUACCUGCCUACCUGCCUGCUUGCCUACCUGCCUGCCUACCUACCUGCCUGCCUGCCUACCUGCCUGCCUACCUACUGCCUACCUGCCUACCUGCCUACCUGCCUGCCUGCCUGCCUGCCUGCCUACCUGCCUGCCUACCUACCUGCCUGCCUACCUGCCUGCCUACCUGCCUGCCUACCUACCUGCCUACCUGCCUGCCUACCUACCUGCCUACCUGCCUACCUGCCUACCUGCCUGCCUACCUGCCUACCUGCCUGCCUACCUGCCUACCUACCUGCCUGCCUACCUGCCUGCCUACCUACCUGCCUACCUGCCUGCCUACCUGCCUGCUACCUACUUGCCUACCUGCCUACCGGCCUGCCUACCUGCCUACCUACCUGCCUACCUGCCUACCUGCCUACCUGCCUACCUGCCUACCUGCCUACCUGCCUACCUGCCUACCUGCCUGCUUGCCUACCUGCCUGCCUACUGCCUGCCUACCUGCCUGCCUACCUACCUGCCUACCUGCCUGCCUACCUGCCUGCCUACCUACCUGCCUACCUGCCUACCUGCCUGCCUGCCUACCUGCCUACCUACCUGCCUGCCUACCUGCCUACCUGCCUACCUGCCUACCUGCCUACCUGCCUACCUGCCUACCUGCCUACCUGCCUGCUUGCCUACCUGCCUGCCUACUGCCUGCCUACCUGCCUGCCUACCUACCUGCCUACCUGCCUGCCUACCUGCCUGCCUACCUACCUACCUACCUGCCUACCUACCUGCCUACCUGCCUGCCUACCUAC